rnacentral:lncRNA from 1 species
GUGACAGGCGGAGAAACUGAGUGUCAGAGAAAGUCUGAGCCCCGCGCCAGGUCACGGGGAGCCCGGCGGGCUACAGCCCCUGGCAGGUGCAGAGGGGCUCCCAGCAGCGGGUCCCUGGGGCCCGACUUGGGCUGGUGAUGGGAGAUUCCAGAUCUCCCGCCAUGGAGCGCUCUGCCCACCCCGAAGGAAGCCGGCCUGGCCCAUGAUGCCUCAGGAUUGGGCUGUGUCCCCUCCGGGCAGUGCACCCCUCCCCCUUUUGGAUCAGCAUCCCAGGCUCCUGGUUCAAGACUCCGGACAGCGCCUCCUCUUCCCCUUGCCAGAGUCUCCCAGAUUGCCCAAGUUCUGGGCCGAGGGCCCUGGGGCAGCCUGUGGCCUCUCCCGGAAAGAUGGACAGCUUGCACGGAAUCCAGACUUUGGGCAACGGAGGCGGGGCUUUGCCAGGGAAGGCUGCUUCACACAGUCCCGGGCCCCGGGGACAAGCUGGCAAAGCAUCCCUCAGCUGAGGAGGUACACGAGAGGGCCAUGUCCCAGAAGCCCUGAGAUGCUCCAAGCCCUGGUCUUCAGGGACAGCCAGA